GCGGGAUUGGUGGAAUUGGCAGACACAUCUGAUUCAAGCUCAGAUGCCGUAAGGCGUAGGGUUUCGAGUACCCUAUCCCGCA
rnacentral:tRNA from 1 species